rnacentral:rRNA from 1 species
CCUUUGCCUCCCUCCCGCUGCUUGCUAUUGCUAUCCAAUCCCGCUCUUUGUUUCCUUCGCCACUCUCUCUCCCCCGCUCUCUACCUCACCCUCCUUCCUCCUCCCCGUCUCACGGCACGGCCAGAGGAGGCUGCUCGCUCGGGUCCAGGCGCCUCAGCCUCGGGCCGCCGGUGGUUGCGUCCCAGCGACGCGGCAGAUUCCUCGAGCAGUUUUGGGUAUCUCUAUUACUGCAGUGGACGAGAAAGGAUCGUGAGAAUGGCAAAUUUGGUCACUAAUUGUGGUUUCAGUCCAUCUCCUGCUGUUAAAGCACACUGCAACUCACCAAGUUAUGGCCACAAUUUCAUCCGAUUACAAAAUUCGAAAUCUUCAACUUCAAGUCUGAACCUCAAGUCAUCUUCCAAGAGGUCAAAUAAGUUAUAUGUUACUUGUGCUAGUACUGCUGUACAAGGACAGACACAAACACCUCUUACUGGUAGUCAGCAAGCAUCUGGGCAUUCAUCCUCUAAACCCAAAAAAGUUAUGGUUAUUGGUGGAGAUGGGUACUGUGGCUGGGCAACUGCUCUUCAUCUGUCCAACAAAGGUUAUGAGGUUGCUAUUGUUGAUAAUCUUGUUCGACGCCUUUUUGACCAUCAACUUGGCCUUGAUUCACUUACUCCCAUAGCUUCCAUCCAAAAUCGCAUUCGCCGAUGGAAAUCUCUUACGGGAAAGACAAUUCAGCUCUUCAUUGGUGAUAUAUGUGACUUUGAUUUCCUUUCAGAAGCCUUCAAGUCUUUUGAGCCAGAUUCUGCUGUCCACUUUGGUGAACAAAGAUCAGCACCAUUUUCUAUGAUUGAUCGUUCACGAGCAGUAUAUACACAAAACAACAAUGUUAUUGGAACACUUAAUGUAUUGUUUGCCAUGAAGGAGUUUAGUGAAGAGUGUCAUUUGGUUAAACUAGGAACUAUGGGUGAAUACGGAACUCCAAAUAUUGACAUUGAAGAGGGAUUCCUCACUAUUACUCACAAUGGAAGAACUGAUACCUUACCUUACCCAAAGCAAGCAAGCUCCUUCUAUCAUCUAAGUAAAGUGCACGACUCUCACAACAUAGCAUUUACUUGCAAGGCUUGGGGUAUAAGGGCCACAGAUCUUAACCAGGGCGUCGUCUAUGGAAUCAGAACAGAUGAAACUGCUAUGCAUGAAGAGCUGUCCAAUAGGUUGGACUAUGAUGGAAUCUUUGGAACAGCACUAAAUAGGUUCUGUGUUCAGGCAGCUGUAGGUCACCCGCUUACAGUUUAUGGAAAAGGCGGUCAGACCCGUGGAUACCUGGACAUCAGGGACACCGUGCAAUGCGUGGAGCUAGCAAUCGCAAACCCAGCCAAACCAGGCGAGUUCAGAGUCUUCAACCAAUUCACCGAGCAGUUCUCCGUGAACGAGCUGGCCAAGCUGGUGACCGCCGCGGGAGCGAAGCUGGGGCUGGACGUGCAGACCAAGUCGGUGCCCAACCCGCGCGUCGAGGCGGAGGAGCACUACUACAACGCCAAGCACUCGAAGCUGUCGGAGCUCGGGCUGGCGCCCCACCUGCUGUCGGACUCGCUCCUCGACUCACUGCUCAACUUCGCCGUCCAGUACAAGGACCGGGUCGACAUGGCGCAGAUCAUGCCCAGCGUGUCCUGGAAGAAGAUGGGGGCCAAGCCAAAGACGGUCUCUGUAUAGAGCGAGGGAGGGAGGGAGGGGAGGGGGCUUCCCCUUUGUUGUGUGGCGUAUGAUGUCAACCGUGACAUUGACAUUAUAUCUUGUUGUGUGUAAUGUAGCAGUAAUAAUGUAGCGAUAAUAGUUUGAUGCACGAUGUAGUGAGGUGUGGAAGUUGCCGAUUACGCUGUUAGAUUUUAUUUUUGCGCCACCACGGGCGGGAACUGCAAUUGAACAGCAUCUGUGUAGUAUGUUGUUAUUUCUGACUAGCGAAUUUAGCUACAGUGGGUGUUAGUGCAGAUUUCCGGCUACGUAUGCCCUGGUUAUGCACUUAUACUGCAAAGCUCCUUUUUGGCUCGGCGAAGAUGAAGCUUACACAACUAC